GAAGUUGUGCCGCAGGGCUGAGCUGG
rnacentral:piRNA from 1 species